CUCUCCUCUUCCUGCAACCUCUUCUCCUCUUUCCUUCCUCCUCUCUUUGGAAUUAAGUGUGCAAAAGGUGUAUUGGUGUCUAAUAUUGUGAACGGAAAAGAAAGGGAAGGAUGGAGGGGGGAUCCUUGAGACUCAAGCAGAGCUGAUUGUCUCCUCUGCAUCUUCUCAGGAGCUCACAGGCUUCCUGCUCAUUGUACUCAAGGGAGAGCAGGAAAGAGCAGGGUGCUGUCUGUCUGUCUGUGGUUGAUCUGAGGGUCUAGUGCUGAGGGAGAGAAACUUGUCACAGAGCCUGGCACUUUCCAGAAGAAUUCCCUUAAAUCCCUGCCCCCAACUCCAACUCUAACUUCAGCCAGAGAGAGAGGAGAGAGAGAGAGGACAGAGAGAGGAGAGAGAGAGAGGUGAGAGAGAGAGAGAGAGAGAGAGGAGAGAGAGAGAACUUGCUUUUUGAAUCAAAGUUUUAAGUCAUGACAUUCAAAGUUCAUGCAGUGAACACCACUGAGCAUCUACUAAGUGCAUGGCACUGUGCAUGAAGAUGGGCUUAUGGAAAUGAACUUGGGGAGUUUCCAGGCUGAGGCAGAGGAAGCUGAGACAUAGAGAAGACAACAAAUUUUCUGGAGUUCUCACAGUUGGGCUAUGGAAGAAGAAAGAAUUCAAAACCAGAUUGGGUGGCUCCAGAGUUCUGAAUUGAUCUCCCUAGGAGAAUUUUAUCCCUCUUCAUCCUUCUUGGACACUACAGUCAAGUUCUUUCUUAGUUCUCUUGGACCAUUCUGAUUCUAGAAGGACUGACCACCCUGCUACAAUAGAUUGGAGAAUCCCUCAGAUCAGCAGGCCUGAGUAAAACCUCACUGCCAUCAAAGCACCAAAAAUGUGGGCAAAGAUAGCUUGGACUCUACCAGACCAUCUGCCAGCUGACACCAUUGAGUAACAUCCAUUGAUAUUGUGAGGAAGAAAUAAAUCAUCCAGC
rnacentral:lncRNA from 1 species